UACGGAGGGGGCUAGCGUUGUCCGGAAUCACUGGGCGUAAAGGGCGCGUAGGCGGCUCAUGAAGGCUGUGGUGAAAGUCCGGGGCUCAACCUCGGAUCGGCCGUGGCGACUCGUGGGCUGGAGCACUGUAGAGGCGGGUGGAAUUCCGGGUGUAGCGGUGGAAUGCGUAGAGAUCCGGAAGAACACCAGUGGCGAAGGCGGCCCGCUGGGCAGUGGCUGACGCUGAGGCGCGACAGCGUGGGGAGCAAACAGG
rnacentral:rRNA from 1 species